UGGCGGCGUGCCUAAUACAUGCAAGUCGAGCGAACAGACAAGGAGCUUGCUCCUUUGACGUUAGCGGCGGACGGGUGAGUAACACGUGGGUAACCUACCUAUAAGACUGGGAUAACUUCGGGAAACCGGAGCUAAUACCGGAUAAUAUUUCGAACCGCAUGGUUCGAUAGUGAAAGAUGGUUUUGCUAUCACUUAUAGAUGGACCCGCGCCGUAUUAGCUAGUUGGUAAGGUAACGGCUUACCAAGGCGACGAUACGUAGCCGACCUGAGAGGGUGAUCGGCCACACUGGAACUGAGACACGGUCCAGACUCAUACGGGAGGCAGCAGUAGGGAAUCUUCCGCAAUGGGCGAAAGCCUGACGGAGCAACGCCGCGUGAGUGAUGAAGGUCUUCGGAUCGUAAAACUCUGUUAUUAGGGAAGAACAUACGUGUAAGUAACUAUGCACGUCUUGACGGUACCUAAUCAGAAAGCCACGGCUAACUACGUGCCAGCAGCCGCGGUAAUACGUAGGUGGCAAGCGUUAUCCGGAAUUAUUGGGCGUAAAGCGCGCGUAGGCGGUUUUUUAAGUCUGAUGUGAAAGCCCACGGCUCAACCGUGGAGGGUCAUUGGAAACUGGAAAACUUGAGUGCAGAAGAGGAAAGUGGAAUUCCAUGUGUAGCGGUGAAAUGCGCAGAGAUAUGGAGGAACACCAGUGGCGAAGGCGACUUUCUGGUCUGUAACUGACGCUGAUGUGCGAAAGCGUGGGGAUCAAACAGGAUUAGAUACCCUGGUAGUCCACGCCGUAAACGAUGAGUGCUAAGUGUUAGGGGGUUUCCGCCCCUUAGUGCUGCAGCUAACGCAUUAAGCACUCCGCCUGGGGAGUACGACCGCAAGGUUGAAACUCAAAGGAAUUGACGGGGACCCGCACAAGCGGUGGAGCAUGUGGUUUAAUUCGAAGCAACGCGAAGAACCUUACCAAAUCUUGACAUCCUUUGACAACUCUAGAGAUAGAGCCUUCCCCUUCGGGGGACAAAGUGACAGGUGGUGCAUGGUUGUCGUCAGCUCGUGUCGUGAGAUGUUGGGUUAAGUCCCGCAACGAGCGCAACCCUUAAGCUUAGUUGCCAUCAUUAAGUUGGGCACUCUAAGUUGACUGCCGGUGACAAACCGGAGGAAGGUGGGGAUGACGUCAAAUCAUCAUGCCCCUUAUGAUUUGGGCUACACACGUGCUACAAUGGACAAUACAAAGGGCAGCGAAACCGCGAGGUCAAGCAAAUCCCAUAAAGUUGUUCUCAGUUCGGAUUGUAGUCUGCAACUCGACUACAUGAAGCUGGAAUCGCUAGUAAUCGUAGAUCAGCAUGCUACGGUGAAUACGUUCCCGGGUCUUGUACACACCGCCCGUCACACCACGAGAGUUUGUAACACCCGAAGCCGGUGGAGUAACCAUUUGGAGCUAGCCGUCGAAGGUGGGACAA
rnacentral:rRNA from 1 species